rnacentral:rRNA from 1 species
GAACGGGUGAGUAACGUGGGCAAUCUGCCCUGCACUCUGGGACAACCCUGGAAACGGGUAAUACCGGAUGUUACUUUCGGGCGGCCGGGGUGGAAAGUCUGGCGGUGCAGGAUGGGCCCGCGGCCUAUCAGCUUGUUGGUGGGGUGAUGGCCUACCAGGCGACGACGGGUAGCCGGCCUGAGAGGGCGACCGGCCACACUGGGACUGAGACACGGCCCAGACUCCUACGGGAGGCAGCAGUGGGGAAUAUUGCACAAUGGGCGCAAGCCUGAUGCAGCGACGCCGCGUGAGGGAUGACGGCCUUCGGGUUGUAAACCUCUUUCAGCAGGGAAGAAGGACGGUACCUGCAGAAGAAGCGCCGGCU